GCUUGUCUCAAAGAUUAAGCCAUGCAUGUCUUAGUGUAAAUAACUCUUAUGAAACUGCGAAUGGCUCAUUAAAUCAGUUAUCGUUUAUUUGAUGGUCCCUUACUACAUGGAUAACCGUAGUAAUUCUAGAGCUAAUACAUGCACAAAGGCCCGACUCACGAAGGGCUGUAUUUAUUAGAUUUAAAGCCGACAUCUUUUGGUGAUUCAUAAUAACUUUUCGAACCUCAUGCCUUGUGCCGACGACGUUUCCUUCGAAGGUGUGCCCUAUCAACUGUCGACUGUGAUAUAGACGCUCACAGUGGUUUUGACGGGUAACGGGGAAUCAGGGUUCGAUUCCGGAGAGGGAGCCUUAAAAACGGCUACCACAUCCAAGGAAGGCAGCAGG
rnacentral:rRNA from 1 species